rnacentral:rRNA from 1 species
AGAGUUCGACCUUGGCUCAGGAUGAACGCUAGCGGCAUGCUUAACACAUGCAAGCCGGACGAGAAGUGGUGUUUCCAAUGGUGGACGGAUGAGUAACGUGUAAGAACCUACCCUUAGGAGGGGAACAACAGUUGGAAACGGGUGCUAAUACCCGGUAGGCUAAGGAGAAAAAGGAGGAAUCCACCCGAGGAGGGGCUCGCGUCAGAUUAGUUAGUUGGUGAGGCAAUAGCUUACCAAGGUGAUGAUCAGUAGCUGGUCCGAGAGGAUGAUUAGCCACACUGGGACUGAGACACGGCCUAGACUCCUACGGGAGGAAGCAGUGGGAAAUUUUCCGCAAGGGGCGAAAGCCUGAUGGAGCAAUGCCGCGUAGAGGUAAAAGGCCUAUGGGUCGUGAACUUCUUUUCCCGCAGAAGAAGGAAUGAUGGUAUCUGGGGAAUAAGCAUCAGCUAACUCUAUGCCAGUAGCCACGGUAAUACAGAUGAUCCAAGCGUUAUCCGAAAUGAUUGGGUGUAAAGCGUUUGUAGGUGGCAUUUUCAGUCCACCGUCAAAUCCUAGGGCUCAACCCUGGAUAGGCGGUGGAAACUACCAAGCUGGAGUAUGAUAGGGGCAGAGGGAAAUUUUGGCGGAGUAGUGAAAUGCGUACAAAUUAUAAAGAACACCAACGGUGAAAGCACUGUGAUCGGCCGACACUGACACUGAGAGACGAAAGCUAGGGGAGCAAAUGGGAUUAGAUACCCCAGUAGUCCUAGCCGUAAAUAAUAGAUACUAGGCGCUCUGCAUAUCGACCCGUGCAGUGUUGUAGCUAAUGCGUUAAGUAUCCUGCCUGGAGAGUCCGUUCGCAAGAAUGAAACUCAAAGGAAUUGACGGGGUCCCGCACAAGCAGUGGAGUAUGUGAUUUAUAUCGAUGCAAAGCGAAGAACCUUACCAAGGCUUGAUAUGCCGCGAAUCCUCUUGAAAGAGAGGGGUGCCUUCGGGAACACGGACACAAAUGGUGCAUGGUUGUCAUUAACUCGUGUCGUAAGGUGUUGGGUUAUGUCCCACAACAAGCGCAACCCUCAUGUUUAGUUGCCACGUUGAGUUUGGAACCCCGAGAGGACUGCCGGUGAUAAGCUGGAGGAAGGUGAGCAUGACGUCAAUUCAUCAUGCCCCUUAGGCCCUGGGCGACACACGUGUUACAAUGGCCAGGACAAAGGGUCGCGAUCCCGCAAGGGUGAGUUAACUCCAAAAAGCCAGAUUGUAGGCUACAACUCGACUACAUGAAGCCGAAAUCACUAGUAAUUUUCGGUCAGUCAUACGGCAAUGAAUUUGUUCCCAGGCCUUGUACACACCGUCCGUCACACUAUGGAAGUUGGCCUUGCACGAAGUCGUUACCCUAACCGCAAGGGGGGAUGCCGAAGGCAGGGCUAGUGACUGGAGUGAAGUCGUAACAAGGUAGCCGUACUGGAAGGUGUGGCUG